AAAAUCGUAACAAGGUUUCCGUAGGUGAACCUGCGGAAGGAUCAUUACCACACCAUAAAAACUUUCCACGUGAACCGUUACAAUUAUGUUCUGUGCCUUCUCUCGGGGAGGCUGAACGAAGGUGGGCUGCUGUUAUGGCGGACUGCCGAUGUAUUUUUCAAACCCAUUUACUUAAUACUGAACUAUACUCCGAGAACGAAAGUUUUUGGUUUUAAUCCAUAACAACUUUCAGCAGUGGAUGUCUAGGCUCGCACAUCGAUGAAGAACGCUGCGAACUGCGAUACGUAAUGCGAAUUGCAGAAUUCAGUGAGUCAUCGAAAUUUUGAACGCACAUUGCACUUUCGGGUUAUGCCUGGAAGUAUGCUUGUAUCAGUGUCCGUACAUCAAACUUGCCUUUCUUUUCUUGUGUAGUCAAGAUUAGAGAUGGCAGAAUGUGAGGUGUCUCGCUGGCUCCCUCUUCGGAGGAGAAGACGCGAGUCCCUUUAAAUGUACGUUCGCUCUUUCUUGUGUCUAAGAUGAAGUGUGACUUUCGAACGCAGUGAUCUGUUUGGAUCGCUCUGCGCGAGUGGGCGACUUCGGUUAGGACAUUAAAGGAAGCAACCUCUAUUGGCGGUAUGUUAGGCUUCGGCCCGACUUUGCAGCUGACGGGGUGUUGUUUUCUGUUCUUUCCUUGAGGUGUACCUGUCUUGUGUGGGGCAAUGGUCUGGGCAAAUGGUUGUUGUGUAGUAGAAUUUUGCUGCUCUUGGGCGCCCUUUAUGGGUAAAGAAGGCAACACCAAUUUGGGACAGUCUUGUGAGAGUUUCGGCUCCUGCAGGCGCUUUUUCAAUUGGACCUGAUAUCAAGUAAGAUUACCCGCUGAACUUAAGCAUAUCA
rnacentral:rRNA from 1 species